UACGAGGGGGCAAGCGUUGUUCGGAAUUAUUGGGCGUAAAGGGCGCGUAGGCGGUGCGGUAAGUCACCUGUGAAACCUCUAGGCUCAACCUAGAGCCUGCAGGCGAAACUGCCGUGCUUGAGGGUGGGAGAGGUGCGUGGAAUUCCCGGUGUAGCGGUGAAAUGCGUAGAUAUCAGGAGGAACACCGGUGGAGAAGGCGCUCCAUCUGGCCCAAUACUGACGCUGAAGCUCGAAAGCUAGGGAGCAAACGGG
rnacentral:rRNA from 1 species